GCUGUCUCCACCCGAGACUCAGUGAAAUUGAACUCGCUGUGAAGAUGCAGUGUACCCGCGGCAAGACGGAAAGACCCCGUGAACCUUUACUAUAGCUUGACACUGAACAUUGAGCCUUGAUGUGUAGGAUAGGUGGGAGGCUUUGAAGCGUGGACGCCAGUCUGCGUGGAGCCGACCUUGAAAUACCACCCUUUAAUGUUUGAUGUUCUAACGUGGACCCGUAAUCCGGGUUGCGGACAGUGUCUGGUGGGUAGUUUGACUGGGGCGGUCUCCUCCUAAAGAGUAACGGAGGAGCACGAAGGUUGGCUAAUCCUGGUCGGACAUCAGGAGGUUAGUGCAAUGGCAUAAGCCAGCUUGACUGCGAGCGUGACGGCGCGAGCAGGUGCGAAAGCAGGUCAUAGUGAUCCGGUGGUUCUGAAUGGAAGGGCCAUCGCUCAACGGAUAAAAGGUACUCCGGGGAUAACAGGCUGAUACCGCCCAAGAGUUCAUAUCGACGGCGGUGUUUGGCACCUCGAUGUCGGCUCAUCACAUCCUGGGGCUGAAGUAGGUCCCAAGGGUAUGGCUGUUCGCCAUUUAAAGUGGUACGCGAGCUGGGUUUAGAACGUCGUGAGACAGUUCGGUCCCUAUCUGCCGUGGGCGCUGGAGAACUGAGGGGGGCUGCUCCUAGUACGAGAGGACCGGAGUGGACGCAUCACUGGUGUUCGGGUUGUCAUGCCAAUGGCACUGCCCGGUAGCUAAAUGCGGAAGAGAUAAGUGCUGAAAGCAUCUAAGCACGAAACUUGCCCCGA
rnacentral:rRNA from 2 species